CAAUGUAUAGCAUUGUCAUUCUCGAUGUGUUUUUAGAAACAAAUCGUGUCUGGUUUUAAUGUAAAAUAAUAUUACAUUUGUAUCUUGGAUCUUGUACCUUGUCACUGUAGGUUUGAGGAUUUGAUAGAAUACAAGGGUGUAUUUGUGAACCUUAUGAAAGAAUGUCUCGUCAUGCAGUGGUCGCCAUUGUAGUAUUGGGAUGCUUUCUUGCCGCUGCAAUAGUUGCGGUAGCGGUUCUAGCAGUACGUUUGGCUGACGAAGAAGGGGAUGCAGCGGCAGUAGAUAGACAAGGUAUCUUAGCAUUUAAAUAAUCCUCCCAUUCCCCCAACAUCUCAGUAACCUUCUGGGGACCGCAGUUAAUCCGAUAGUUUACGCAGGAACGCAGAUGCGUCAGUCUUGCAUGUUUUUCAACGACUUAGCGGAAGUAUUAUAGAUUCUACCAUGAAGUUGUUACAAGUGUAAAAGAAUCUACAAGACUUCGAUGUCAUGAAAAACAAACUUGAUGCUUAGUUUAAUAUAAUAACAAUAGAAAAAUAAUAUGCCCACUGUGAUAACAAUAUCAUUACGCA
rnacentral:lncRNA from 1 species